UGUCAAGAAUCAGUGGAAAGGAUAUGGAGCAAAGGAUGUCUGUCAGAUUACAGUGGAAAGAGAAAACGAUUAGGCCUUCGACCUGUCUGCAACUUCUAUUACUACGGACACACUCCUACUACAGCUCAUUCAUUCACAAGCCCAGAACAGCAUGUGAGCAGGAGGACUGCAUGGGUGCGGAUUAAAAACCCUAUUAAUAAAUCAAUAAAGGCGGCAUCAGAACCAGGGGGGACGUGCACCGAGCACGGAUCUCUUACAUGUGACUCACGGUCUCGAAGGAAACAGAUGGCGAUCCUGGUUUGCUUCAGGCUCCGGAUUGUACAGCAAACAAAUCCAUAAACCACCCCCCUUCUCUCUCUCUCUCUCUCUCUCUCUCUCUCUCUCUCUCUCUCUCUCUCUCUCUCUCUCUCUUUCUCCCCCCUUGUGUCCCAGGCUCACUCUUUCCCUCCUCGCUGUCAUUUGCAUUUAAUUAUAGACAGCACCCUUGUAAUGCCCCAUAGGUUGUAUACAAACAUAUAUAAUGAAUAAAAAUGAAGAAGUGCUUGUC